rnacentral:rRNA from 1 species
AGAGUUUGAUCAUGGCUCAGGAUAAACGCUGGCGGCGCACAUAAGACAUGCAAGUCGAACGAACCUAACCAUUAGUUUACUAUUGGAGCGGUUAGUGGCGGACUGGUGAGUAACACGUAAGCAACCUGCCUAUCAGAGGGGAACAACAGUUAGAAAUGACUGCUAAUACCGCAUACACCAUUAAAAGGACAUCCUUAUAAUGGGAAAGAAGCAAUUCGCUGAUAGAUGGGCUUGCGUCUGAUUAGAUAGUUGGUGGGGUAAAGGCCUACCAAGUCGACGAUCAGUAGCCGGACCGAGAGGUUGAACGGCCACAUUGGGACUGAGAUACGGCCCAG